GAGCAGUUCGGGUUAAGAACCGGUGACUUCCCACCAUGUUCUUCACCUCCGGGUCAAUUAUUUUGCUGGUUGCGAUUUCAAGGACCUUCGGGGACUCGGUCACACAAACUGAAGGCACCGUUCUUGUCAAAGAAGGAGCACCUUUGGUUAUUGAGUGUACAUAUGAGACUAUUCUAUUCCCUUAUCUCCUCUGGUAUAUUCAAUACCCCAAUGAAGCACCGAAGUUAUGGCUGAGAGAUAAAACAUCAGGGGGUGGCCAAGAUGAAGGGGACAAGCAGGGCUUCUUUGCUGAUCAUGUCCAAGACAAGAAAUCCUUCGAUUUGAAGAAAAGCUCCAGCGAAGUGAACGACUCUGCGGUCUAUUACUGCGCCUUCAGAGACACAGUGAUUGCAACCAGCAGGGGAGCUGAACAAGAAUCCACCAAGAGAGAGGAUGAAGCACAGAAACUCUAG